rnacentral:rRNA from 1 species
CGUUAGCGGCGGACGGGUGAGUAACACGUGGGUAACCUACCUAUAAGACUGGGAUAACUUCGGGAAACCGGAGCUAAUACCGGAUAAUAUUUCGAACCGCAUGGUUCGAUAGUGAAAGAUGGUUUUGCUAUCACUUAUAGAUGGACCUGCGCCGUAUUAGCUAGUUGGUAAGGUAACGGCUUACCAAGGCGACGAUACGUAGCCGACCUGAGAGGGUGAUCGGCCACACUGGAACUGAGACACGGUCCAGACUCCUACGGGAGGCAGCAGCG